rnacentral:rRNA from 1 species
UCCUUUAGUAAAACGCGAGUGAAAGGGGAAGAGCCCAGCGCUGAAUCUCUCGGUCUUAGGCCGCUGAGAACUGUAGCGUAUAGGUGUGACUGUCCUGCUAUAUUGCAUUUCCGAAGUCUCUUUGAUAGGGGCCAACAUCCAGAGAGGGUGCGAGACCUGUACGGAAAGUAGUAUAGUUGGUAUGGUUACUCCUUGGAGUCGGGUUGCUUGAAAGUGCAGCCUAAAGUUGGUGAUAAACUUCAUCUAAGGCUAAAUAUCGACGCGAAAUCGAUAGCAAACAAGUACCGUGAGGGAAAGUUGCAAAGAACUUUGAAGAGAGAGUUCAAGAGAACGUGAAAUCGCUGAAGUGGAACCGGAGAGAGUUAACAUAACUUGGUAGCUAUAUCCUCUAAAGUCGCUUAACUGUGGCUCUGGGGGGUGGACGCUACCUGUUGUUGCACUGACUGCGUUGAUUGUGCUUUCCGAACAGUAUAGUGUUGCCCACUUUGUGGUGUCUUGCUUUCUGGGAGGUUUGUCAUAAUUAACGUAAAGCCAAUUCCCUUUGGAGUCAGUGUGAAAGUUAACCACCUUUCCGACCCGUCUUGAAACACGGACCGAGGAGUGUAAUUUAUACGCGAGUCAAGGGGUGGUGAAAACCCUAGGGGCGGAAUGAAAGUAAAGGCCGGUUAACCGGUUGACAUGGGAUCCGCUCUUCGGAGCGGCGCACCAUGGCCCUGUCUUGUCUGCUUGCAGAUGGGCAGCGGUAGAGCGUAUAGUUUGCGACCCGAAAGAUGGUGAACUAUGCUUGAGCAGGACGAAGCCAGAGGAAACUCUGGUGGAAGUCCGUAUCGGUUCUGACGUGCAAAUCGAUCGAUAGACUUGGGUAUAGGGGCGAAAGACUAAUCGAACCGUCUAGAGGUUCGCA